CUGCCAUUGUCGGAGACAUAACGGAUGAGAUUCGUCGGUUGUAAGGGCGGCCGGGGAGCGGGCCGUGCCGCCGACCAUGCUGUGCUUUGUGCCUUGCCGACCGGCCGGGUGAGACGCGGGCGACCUCGCCAGAGACGGCCCGCCGUGGUGGCCAGCGUCGUCCGAGGCCCCGACGCCGGGCUGGCCGGACGUCGGCUCAGCGCUCUGCUACGGGGCCCGUCGGCCAGAACGGGCGCAGUUUCUGCUCCUGGGUCAGCCAGGCCAGAGCCGGGUCGAGGGGAGGGGGGUAGUCGCUCUGGUGGUCCAUCGAGAUCAUCCAGCUUGAUUGUACGUAGCUAGCGAAGGAUUAUCAUGCUUCUCAUCCGCAUGUAUUGUCUAGGUGUGCUCUGCCGUUGCUCUGUCGUUCGACGUUGGCGCGUAUGACUGACGCCAGUCCACCUCCAAGAUGGUGCGCUUUGAUUGCGUUUUACGGCCCGAUUUGAGUUCACCACGAGCGGUACAUUUCCAGAUGCAAAGCCGUGUUGACAAAUUGUGCAUAACGGUGGGUAUUUCUGCGGAGAAAGUUGUGGAGUCCAGCCGUGUAAGGUUUGGCCAUUUACCAUUGUGGGCAAGGUUUUUAAAACUAAAAGGAACGCAACAAGGCGACACACCCCAGAAUAUGGCCUGUUUGAAAUGUUAAUGCGUAGGUGUUCUUGCUAUACAUUUGAACCGAGUGUGUUUAUGAAACUGUAUAAGGUUUGGAAGAUCACUUGAUAAUGUCGCCUGUCCUGUGGCGCUUAGGUGCGCGUCUAUAUGCGUACGGACAUUCCCAUCACGGUUGUGUUUGAUGCUGCAGAAUAAACUUGACAAAUGCU
rnacentral:lncRNA from 1 species